rnacentral:rRNA from 1 species
GCGUAAGCGCACGCAGGCGGUCUGUCAAGUCGGAUGUGAAAUCCCCGGGCUCAACCUGGGAACUGCAUUCGAAACUGGCAAGCUAGAGUCUUGUAGAGGGGGGUAGAAUUCCAGGUGUAGCGGUGAAAUGCGUAGAGAUCUGGAGGAAUACCGGUGGCGAAGGCGGCCCCCUGGACUGAUACUGACGCUCAGGUGCGAAAGCGUGGGGAGCAAACAGGAUUAGAUACCCUGGUAGUCCACGCCGUAAACGAUGUCGACUUGGAGGUUGUGCCCUUGAGGCGUGGCUUCCGGAGCUAACGCGUUAAGUCGACCGCCUGGGGAGUACGGCCGCAAGGUUAAAACUCAAAUGAAUUGACGGGGGCCCGCACAAGCGGUGGAGCAUGUGGUUUAAUUCGAUGCAACGCGAAGAACCUUACCUACUCUUGACAUCCAGAGAACUUUCCAGAGAUGGAUUGGUGCCUUCGGGAACUCUGACACAGGUGCUGCAUGGCUGUCGUCAGCUCGUGUUGUGAGAUGUUGGGUUAAGUCCCGCAACGAGCGCAACCCUUAUCCUUUGUUGCCAGC